UAAAUGUUCUAAUGUGGAGUUGCAGCUCUAGAAUAUAAAAUUUCCAGCAGGGCUGAAGAACAAAACGUGGUAGGGACUAGGGAACUAAGCAACCUUGUGCCUUGAUAAAUUGGGCAAUUUUAGGCCAUUUUAAGCUGUUCUGAGAAGACAACAAUAAUAAUAACAAGCAUGUAUACUACUAUCUGACUCGGUUGUUUGCAUGAUAGUAAAAAUGUUACCUUUCAGAGUCUUCGUUUUUCUGAGUCCAAGCUUUCAGUGACCUGCUGUUACGUGACUGUUCAACCAUAGAAUGGUCACAGAACCAGUAAGGUACAGUAGUUCCCUGAAUGAUGUUGUUAUGACAACAGCGAAAGCUUGGACUCAGAAAAAUGAAAACUCUGAAAGGUAACAUUUUCACUAACAAUAAUGAUAAUCAUUAUUGUCAUUAGUUUGUUUCCUUCAAUUCUAGUAAUCAAUAACAGUAUUUGUUUUGUUUUGUUGUAAAGUUGCACACAGUUGUUACAUUAGCGCUGGUAGGAUUCACUCUUGGUGCUCCUGUCUUCAAUUAUAUGGAUCACUCCUACCUCCAAAUGCUAAGGUACACUACUGCAUUGACAACCAUUGCAUCUGGCCUGAGUUACAUUCUCUCUAAAGAUACAGUCAAGUUUUUAAGAAAGAACAAAUGAACUUAUCAAGAUUUUUAAAAAUGUAUGAUUAUGUAGAGUGAAACCAUUAUGAUGUGAAGAUCUACCAAGCACCCUCCAUUUCGAGACUCCUCUAAUUCACGCUUUCAAAGAAUCAAUAAAAAUCGUGUAUUUUAACACAAAGCUAACCUCAACUUUUCAUGUCCCUUGAGGGUAUAAUAAGCCUUUAUAGAUGAGAUUAACUGGUUUCCUGAAUCAUUUAGUUGAGGAAAGUAUUGUAUAAAGUUUGUUUGAAAGGUUUGCUUAAAAAUUUCCUGACCAUCUGUAUACUGGAAUACCUACAGUAGUAUGAUAUUCCCCACUAAAAGCAUAACUGCCCUCAACAUUAAUUAAAUAUAAAAUACGCUGUUGUUGACAAUUAUAAAUUAUAAAUUAAUAAAUAUAAAUAUGCAAAAGCUCUAGUUUUAGGAGUUUUAGCAUACAUUAUGCUAUAUGUAAUCAUUUUCAAGGCAAAAAAUCUCGGAUUUCAUUUCGAAAUCGAAUUAAACUACAUAAGUCAAUAAUUUUUAAAAUUGUGGUCAGUCCUGUAAAUAUGCUCAGGUUCAGUGGUUAUGCUCCGCUUAGUGAAUAUGCUCAGUGAAUAUGCUUAGUUCAUAUAAUAUGCUCAACUAGGUGGAUGUACUCAACUUGCUGAGCUUAGAAGGAGCUUGGUGAAUGUGCUUGCGCUCAGGAGUGGACCAGCAUUUUUCGUUAGUAGGGCUCAGGAUUUUAAAUUGUUUUAGUUAUCAUCCUAUGUAUGCCUCACUAUAUUGGGGCUGACAGAUCCGUAUUCGGGGGUGGUGGCGAUUUGUGCGUACAUACCCCUCCACCUCACAAACUAGGAAAUUUACACGUUGCAAUGCAUAGAAUGAACUGAAUGUAAAAUUGUGAAAGAUUAAAAGAGUUUUUAAUCUUUACGUUGAAUUUUAAAGUAGUAUCAACGUUUCAAUUAGUAUCUUCAUUUGAAUUGUCACUUUACAGUGUAGUACUAUUAAAGAACACACCCGCCGCCAAAAACGAUCGUCUAUUCAACAGCGACGUUGAUUUAUGUCUAUAAACACCUGAUAUAAUCUAAAGCCACAUGGACUGAGCGAGAUGAACUGUGGUGUAAAAAUAAUUGCUUUCCCACUUGUGUUACCUACAUAGGGUACUACGAUGUCAUAUUAAAGCAGGUAAAGUUACAAAUAAAA